GUACCAUACCUUAGUUAUGCAAAAUUGGUUUCAUUAUGACAUCUUCAUAUAUGUAUAUAUUUUCAUUUUGCCCCCUUCCACUCCGGAUGAUACUUUUUCUUCCCAACUUCUUUCAUGCCUUGUUUAUUGAUUAACUGGAUGCUCUACUAAAUUUCACGGGGCUGCUUACAAGAUAAGGGUGGGGUGGUUAUAGAAACAGGAACAGUUUACCAGUGGUAACACCACUGAGGAAAAGGUAUCUCCCUUCCCUAGCAACUGUUAACAGCCUAUGGAUUCUCAUAGACAGAGAAUUCCUUAUGUCUAGCAGAGUUCUUUAAGUCUAGCAGAUCCUAAGCCCAUAGAGGUUACCAGAGAGAGGUAGUUCUGCUAGGAGAAAAACUUGAUCCAUGGACACACUUUUAACCCACUGUUCCCCAGUUCUCCUUGGAAUGCUUCAGAGCCUUGCUGUUUGAUUUCUCCAUGCACCUUGAGUCUGGCUGCUUCCUUCUAUAAAAGCAUUUCUUCAAGUGCUGCAUCUCUUCUGUCACUGGCUGAGUUCCUUUCUUACUCAGAGUCAGCUUUAAUAUUUCCCUAAUUCACAUUAUAAAGCCCACUGUAAGAGGACUACAGGGGACGAGUGUCAUGCCUCUGAUGUUAAAUCUAAAUCUUGGAAGACAAUUGCCUAAACAAAGGCAAUGUGAAAAACAGGGAAAAUGUCUUUAAGGUCUAAAUGGGUGCUACAUUUCCACUGAUUCUCAAGGGUGUUUUAGGUAUAAGAACAUUGAGCCAUGAAGUUAUAAUUAUUCAAGAAGACAACAUUGGACCGUCAGCUAACCCAAGGAGCCAUGACUUCUUAUCAAACCUUAGCUAAUGGACGAUAUUUAUACAUUUUUGGGUCAUGGUGAAAUUCUUUUUUUUUUUUUUUUUUUUUUUUUUCUGUCAAGACAGGGUUUCUCUGUGUAGCCCUGGCUGUCCUGGAACUCACUCUGGUGAGUUGGUCACACUUGGUCCUGGAGACCAAGCUGGCCUCAAACUCAGACAUCUGCCUGUCUCUGUCUCCCAAGUGCUGGGAUUAAAGACGUGUGCCACCACUCAAAGGUGUGUGCCACCAUGGUGAAAUUCUUAAGGUAUAAACUUAUGUCCCAGCUCUCUGACUUUGUGUUGUAAUUACUGGUUUGAUUAACUGUCCUUUUUGAGUCAAAGAAGAUGCUCCACUAAUUAUAGAUAUUUUCAGGUUAGUGACUCAGGUGACCUCUCAGGUGCACCAGUGGAUGAUGGGACAUAUGUUUCUAUUGCUCUCAAUGACUUUAUUGCUUAUUUGUUCUGCUCUAUGCUCUCUUUGAAGACUUUGCCAUCAAAUAUUAAGCAUGCAUGUAAUGCUUGAACUGAUAAAAUGUGCCCAGGGAAGCCUAAUACAAGAUUUAUAAACAUGAUUUUAAAUGCUUGAUUACGGUAGAGAUUUUAAAGAGUAAAGAAACCUACUCUAUACAAAUAUUUAUAAUUCCAAAUGACUGAUUACAUCAGAAAUAUAUUCCUGAUGAUUAUUUAUAUUCUAAAAUAUAAACAGGUGUUAUGGGCAAUGAUAAUUACAGCAAACCCCAACUUGAUUUCUCCUUUUGUUUUGAUAUGAAGGGUGUUAUGAAAAGAAGAGAUCAAAUACAAACUGAACUGGAUUCCAAAGUUGAAGCCUUGACCUACAAAAAAGCUGACAUUGACCUGGUAUGUCCUUGUGUUUGUUAACAGAGUCUUUUAGAAGCCACUGUCUGGG
rnacentral:lncRNA from 1 species